rnacentral:rRNA from 1 species
UACAGAGGUCUCAAGCGUUGUUCGGAAUCACUGGGCGUAAAGCGUGCGUAGGCUGUUUCGUAAGUCGUGUGUGAAAGGCGCGGGCUCAACCCGCGGACGGCACAUGAUACUGCGAGACUAGAGUAAUGGAGGGGGAACCGGAAUUCUCGGUGUAGCAGUGAAAUGCGUAGAUAUCGAGAGGAACACUCGUGGCGAAGGCGGGUUCCCGGACAUUAACUGACGCUGAGGCACGAAGGCCAGGGGAGCGAAAGGG